AUGUCUCUCUCUCUCUCUGUCUCUCUCUCGCUCUCUCUCUCUCUCUCUCUGCAUACAGUAGACCUACACUCUUUUGUUUGGGAUAGUUUUCUCAUGUCCUCCUGUUGUCAUGUCCUCCUGUUGUCAUGUCCUCAUGUCCUCCUGUUGUCAUGUCCUCAUGUCCUCCUGUUGUCAUGUCCUCAUGUUCUCAUGUUCUCCUGUUGUCAUGUUCUCAUGUUCUCAUGUUCUCCUGUUGUCAUGUUCUCAUGUUCUCAUGUUCUCCUGUUGUCAUGUUGUCAUGUUGUCAUGUCCUCCUGUUGUCAUGUCCUCAUGUCCUCCUGUUGUCAUGUCCUCAUGUCCUCCUGUUGUCAUGUCCUCCUGUUCUCAUGUCCUCCUGUUGUCAUGUCCUCCUGUUCUCAUGUUCUCCUGUUGUCAUGUUCUCAUGUUCUCAUGUUCUCCUGUUGUCAUGUUCUCAUGUUCUCCUGUUGUCAUGUUGUCAUGUUCUCAUGUUCUCCUGUUGUCAUGUUCUCAUGUUCUCCUGUUGUCAUGUUGUCAUGUUCUCCUGUUGUCAUGUCCUCAUGUUGUCAUGUUCUCCUGUUGUCAUGUUCUCCUGUUGUCAUGUUCUCCUGCUGUCAUGUUCUCCUGUUGUCAUGUUCUCCUGUUGUCAUGUUCUCCUGUUGUCAUGUUCUCCUGUUGUCAUGUCCUCCUGCUGUCAUGUUCUCCUGUUGUCAUGUUGUCAUGUCCUCCUGUUGUCAUGUCCUCCUGUUGUCAUGUCCUCAUGUCCUCCUGCUGUCAUGUUCUCCUGUUGUCAUGUCCUCAUGUCCUCCUGCUGUCAUGUCCUCCUGUUGUCAUGUCCUCAUGUCCUCCUGUUGUCCUGUUGUCAUGUCCUCAUGUCCUCCUGCUGUCAUGUUCUCCUGUUGUCAUGUCCUCCUGUUGUCACGUUCUCCUGUUGUCAUGUUCUCCUGUUGUCAUGUUCUCCUGUCCUCAUGUCCUCCUGUUGUCAUGUUCUCCUGUUGUCAUGUCCUCCUGUUGUCAUGUUGUCAUGUUCUCCUGCUGUCAUGUUCUCCUGUUGUCAUGUUCUCCUGUUGUCAUGUUCUCCUGUUGUCAUGUUGUCAUGUUCUCCUGUUCUCAUGUUCUGCUGUUGUCAUGUUCUCAUGUCCUCCAGCUGUCAUGUUCUCAUGUCCUCCAGCUCUCAUUGUAGAUUCUAUCAUGUAUAUUUCCUCUUUCUCAGAAGGGACAUGGCUACAAUCAGUAUUUACUUGUCUCAGUAAUGGGGUAUACAGUAGGCGCAUGUCUCCUAAUGAAGAAUGA
rnacentral:lncRNA from 8 species